rnacentral:rRNA from 1 species
UUAAAUGGCCGCGGUAUUUUAACCGUGCUAAGGUAGCAUAAUAAUUAGUUUCUUAAUUAGAAGCUGGAAUGAAGGGUUGGAUGAAAAAAUAACUGUCUCUAUUUUAAUAAUUUAGAAAUUUAUUUUUAAGUUAAAAAGCUUAAAUAUUUUUAAAAGACGAGAAGACCCUAUAGAGUUUAAUAUUUUAUUUUUAAUUAAUUAUUUGGAAUUUUUUGUUAUUAAUUUUAAAAUAUUUAAUUGGGGUGAUUAAAAAAUUUAAUUAACUUUUUUUAUAUAAAUAUAUAUAUAAAUAAUUUUAUGAUCCAAUUUUAUUGAUUAAAAGAUAAAUUACCUUAGGGAUAACAGCGUAAUUUUAUUUUAAAGUU